rnacentral:rRNA from 1 species
GACGUACCGUGCGAGCGUUGUUCGGAUUUACUGGGCGUAAAGGGCGCGUAGGCGGCCUGCUAAGUCGGACGUGAAAUCCCCGGGCUCAACCCGGGAACUGCGUCCGAUACUGGUUGGCUUGAAUUCGGGAGAGGGAUGUGGAAUUCCAGGUGUAGCGGUGAAAUGCGUAGAUAUCUGGAGGAACACCGGUGGCGAAGGCGGCAUCCUGGACCGAUAUUGACGCUGAUGCGCGAAAGCCAGGGGAGCAAACGGG